AGCGAACGCUGGCGGCAGGCUUAACACAUGCAAGUCGAGCGGGCAUCCUUGUGGUGUCAGCGGCAGACGGGUGAGUAACGCGUGGGAACGUGCCCUUCGGUUCGGAAUAACUCAGGGAAACUUGAGCUAAUACCGGAUACGUGCGAGAGCAGAAAGGUUUAUCUGCCGAAGGAUCGGCCCGCGUCUGAUUAGCUAGUUGGUGAGGUUACGGCUCACCAAGGCGACGAUCAGUAGCUGGUCUGAGAGGAUGAUCAGCCACACUGGGACUGAGACACGGCCCAGACUCCUACGGGAGGCAGCAGUGGGGAAUAUUGGACAAUGGGGGCAACCCUGAUCCAGCCAUGCCGCGUGAGUGAUGACGGCCUUAGGGUUGUAAAGCUCUUUUCUCCGGGACGAUAAUGACGGUACCGGAGGAAUAAGCCCCGGUUAACUUCGUG
rnacentral:rRNA from 1 species